rnacentral:rRNA from 1 species
GACGAACGCUGGCGGCGUGCUUAACACAUGCAAGUCGAACGGAAAGGCCCUGCUUGCCGGGUGCUCGAGUGGCGAACGGGUGAGUAACACGUGGGUGAUCUGCCCCUUACUUUGGGAUAAGCCUGGGAAACUGGGUCUAAUACUGGAUAGGACCAUGCUGUAGGUGGUGUGGUGGAAAGAUUAGUUUCGGUAAGGGAUGAGCUCGCGGCCUAUCAGCUUGUUGGUGGGGUAAUGGCCUACCAAGGCGUCGACGGGUAGCCGGCCUGAGAGGGCGGACGGCCACAUUGGGACUGAGAUACGGCCCAGACUCCUACGGGAGGCAGCAGUGGGGAAUAUUGCACAAUGGGCGCAAGCCUGAUGCAGCGACGCCGCGUGGGGGAUGACGGCCUUCGGGUUGUAAACUCCUUUCAGCCAUGACGAAGCCCUUGUGGUGACGGUAGUGGUAGAAGAAGCACCGGCUAACUACGUG